rnacentral:sRNA from 1 species
AUCGGUUUGGAACACAGACCUUAUGCAAGCAGUUUUAGUAAAGCAGUUCUCAGUUCAAGCGUUAUCCUCAGAUACUCUUCUUCAUGAGCCUCCUCCCUAAGUGCCCCAUAAGUUAAUUUCUGCAAAACAGGCCAUCUUCGCUGCAUAAGCGGCUCAAAAACAUGAAAGGAAGUAUCUAUGUCUAACAAAAUGACUGGUUUAGUAAAAUGGUUUAACUCUGAUAAAGGCUUCGGCUUUAUCACUCCUCAGGACGGUAGCAAGGAUGUGUUUGUGCAUUUUUCCGCUAUCCAGAGUAACGAUUUUAAAACGUUAGACGAAGGUCAAAAGGUGGAGUUCUCCGUGGAGAAUGGCGCUAAAGGCCCGUCUGCUGUUAACGUUGUCGCGCUGUAAACGCCGAUAAUUUCACGAAGGCUUACGAUAGCGAUG